CCAUAAAUGAGGCUCUCUGGCCCUUCACUACCAAACCAGAGAGAGUGCCCAUGCAGGGAAUCCUCUCUGAGAGAUUUCCCCUUCUCUUCCCCAAACGUGAGCAGCUGGGAUACAAUUCUCUGGUUCACAUCCUAUUUCUUCAUCCAGAUUUGGACAAGGCAUUCCAUUGUUGGCAGGUUGAAGAAGUACAAAACGAGUUCUGAUCUUGGUCCCUGUCUUUCUGCAAAUACCUCUACAGAGACCCCAGGAAGACCACUGUGAAACCUCACAGUCCAGUGGUGUUUCUGCAAUACACACAAUAAAAAGAAUAAGCCUCUCCUUCCAGAUGCUCUGGAGUCCAGCAAUUUGCACUGCCUUCCUGGGUUGCAGCAACCUUCACAUAGUCUCCCUCUGGGUCUCUAGGAAUGUAUCCUCUUCUUGACCUCUGAGGCUUGGCUGUAGAUCUGCUCCUUUGCAGCAAGCAAGCCAUGUGCUUUGUCAGGAGUCUUUCAGUCUGCAUUUAGACUUGUAAUCUCCUCCUUUUCCUCCCCUCUCUCCACCUGACACAGACUGUUGCAGCCAGGAAAAUCAGAGGCAGCCUAUUCUGUCAGACCCUUUCAAACCAAAUGAGAAGAAAAAAAACCCCAACCACAAUAAAAUAGAGACCAAACCAUGAACAAAAACUCAGUUUUUUCAGCUGGCAUGAGGGCAAAAAGCAGCAGGAAUUGGAGGCACUCUGUAGUGCCUCCAUCUAAACUGCAAAGGCUUUCCCAGUUUUCAGGCUCAUAUGUGCACCCUGUUCAUUUUCCUAUGUCAGGUAAGACCUAGAUGCAUCAACUCUCCUGAGGCUCCGGUUUCUGGGAAGAGAAGAUGCAGUUGUAUGAGCCAGAAUGGUUCAGGCUUACUGCUUCUCUUUCAGAGGCUGAAUUACACCCGCACAGUCCAGAAUGCAGAUGAUAUGAAUUUACUUGUAUUAUGCAAUAGAGGAAAGAGCAGA